rnacentral:rRNA from 1 species
UCCAGGCCCUACGGGGUGCAGCAGGCGCGAAACCUUUACAAUGCACGCAAGUGUGAUAAGGGGAUUCCAAGUGCUCAAGCAUUGCUUGGGCUUUUGCUAAGUGUAAGUAGCUUGGCGAAUAAGUGGUGGGAAAGACUGGUGCCAGCCGCCGCGGUAACACCAGCGCCACGAGUGGCAAUCACGUUUAUUGGGCCUAAAGCGUCCGUAGCAGGUUUCAUAAAUUUCUUGUGAAAUUGCAGAGCUCAACUUUGCAACGUGCAGGAGACACUGUGAGACUCGAGACCGGGAAGGGUUAGAGGUAUUCCUGAGGGAGCGGUAAAAUGCUAUAAUCUCAGGGGGACCGCCUGUGGCGAAGGCGUCUAACUAGAACGGAUCUGACUGUGAGGGACGAAAGCUAGGGGAGCAAACCGGAUUAGAUACCCGAGUAGUCCUAGCCGUAAACGCUGUGAGCUAGGUGUCGCGUAUUCUACGAGAAUGCGCGGUGUCGAAAGGAAGCUAUUAAGCUCACCGCCUGGGAAGUACGGUCGCAAGACUGAAACUUUAAGGAAUUGGCGGGGGCGCACCACAAGGGGUGCGGCGUGCGGUUUAAUCUAACUCAACACAGAGAACCUUACUAGAAGCGACGGCAGGAUGAAGGUCAGUCUGAAGGGCUUACCCAACAAGCCAAGAGGUGGUGCAUGGCCAUCGUCAGCUCGUGCUAUGAAGUGCCCAGUUAAGUCUGGCAACGAGCGAGACCUGUAUCUGCAAUUGCUAGCGGCGAUUCGUCGGACCGAGCACAUUGCAGGGACUGCCUUGGAAACAAGGAGGAAGGUGCAGGCUACGGUAGGUCUGUAUGCCCCGAAUCUUCUAGGCUACACGCGCGCAACAAUGGUAGGGACAAUGGGCUGCAACUCCGAAAGGAGAAGCUAAUCCUCUAAACCCUAUCUCAGUCCAGAUUGAGGGUUGUAACCCACCCUCAUGACGCCGGAAUCCCUAGUAAUCGGACGUCAUCAACGUUCGGUGAAUAUGUCCCUGCGCCUUGCACUCACCGCCCGUC